CCUACGGGGAGCAGCAGUGAGGAAUAUUGGUCAAUGGCCGAGAGGCUGAACCAGCCAAGUCGCGUGAGGGAAGACGGCCCUACGGGUUGUAAACCUCUUUUGUCGGGGAGCAAAGCGAACCACGUGUGGUUCAUUGAGAGUACCCGAAGAAAAAGCAUCGGCUAACUCCGUGCCAGCAGCCGCGGUAAUACGGAGGAUGCGCGCUUUAUCCGGAUUUAUUGGGUUUAAAGGGUGCGCAGGCGGAGGUGUAAGUCAGCGGUCAAAUUGCGGGGCUCAACCCCGUACUGCCGUUGAACCUGCAUCCCUUGAGUGCGCGAGAAGUAUGCGGAAUGCGUGGUGUAGCGGUGAAAUGCAUAGAUAUCACGCAGAACUCCGAUUGCGAAGGCAGCAUACCGGCGCGCAACUGACGCUCAUGCACGAAAGCGUGGGUAUCGAACAGGAUUAGAUACCCGUGUAGUC
rnacentral:rRNA from 1 species